CAGGGGCAACCAUAAAAGUGAGGGUGGCCAACAGGUUGGGUUAGGGGGUUGCAACAGGGAAGUUGCUAUAGUAUGUGCUAUGUGUUUUUUAGACCAAACAAAAUCUGAGGAGCCCCAGCCAGAUGUGACCCUACCCAAAUGGGAAACAAUUUUGGGGCUUGGGAGAGUCACAGCUCCUGUCCUCAUAAGUAAAGUCAAGCAGGAACAGAUGCUGACAGAAGAUCUGAAGUUCUGAGGUAAUUUAAGUGAAGAGGAUCAAGUGAAAUAUCUUGAAAAUGGUGGUGGUAAAGCACCUGAGCUCCAAGGAGAGAAAUAUGUUAAAGCAAUGGAAGGGGACAAUAGACUUGAAAAAAGCUGCCCUCACCAGGUUGCCUAUUGGGACUUUAGCAGGUUAUCUGGCUGCUAAAUCAAAGAAGGUAAUGAGUGUUGGCUGAUUUGGUCCCCACUUGUGUGUUCCUUCUCAGUCCCAAGUCUGUAUUUCCCUGUUGUGC